AGAGUUUUAUCCUGGCUCAGAUUGAACGCUGGCGGCAGGCCUAACACAUGCAAGUCGAGCGGAUGAUGGGAGCUUGCUCCCGGAUUCAGCGGCGGACGGGUGAGUAAUGCCUAGGAAUCUGCCUGGUAGUGGGGGACAACGUUUCGAAAGGAACGCUAAUACCGCAUACGUCCUACGGGAGAAAGCAGGGGACCUUCGGGCCUUGCGCUAUCAGAUGAGCCUAGGUCGGAUUAGCUAGUUGGUGGGGUAAAGGCCUACCAAGGCGACGAUCCGUAACUGGUCUGAGAGUAUGAUCAGUCACACUGGAACUGAGGCACGGUCCAGACUCCUACGGGAGGCAGCAGUGGGGAAUAUUGGACAAUGGGCGAAAGCCUGAUCCAGCCAUGCCGCGUGUGUGAAGAAGGUCUUCGGAUUGUAAAGCACUUUAAGUUGGGAGGAAGGGCAGUAAGUUAAUACCUUGCUGUUUUGACGUUACCAACAGAAUAAGCACCGGCUAACUUCGUGCCAGCAGCCGCGGUAAUACGAAGGGUGCAAGCGUUAAUCGGAAUUACUGGGCGUAAAGCGCGCGUAGGUGGUUUGGUAAGAUGGAUGUGAAAUCCCCGGGCUCAACCUGGGAACUGCAUCCAUAACUGCCUGACUAGAGUACGGUAGAGGGUGGUGGAAUUUCCUGUGUAGCGGUGAAAUGCGUAGAUAUAGGAAGGAACACCAGUGGCGAAGGCGACCACCUGGACUGAUACUGACACUGAGGCGCGAAAGCGUGGGGAGCAAACAGGAUUAGAUACCCUGGUAGUCCACGCCGUAAACGAU
rnacentral:rRNA from 1 species